GGAGAGGUGGCCGAGUGGCUGAAGGCAGGCGCCUGCUAAGCGUCUAGGGGUUAACGCCCCUCGCGGGUUCGAAUCCCGCCCUCUCCG
rnacentral:tRNA from 1 species